rnacentral:lncRNA from 1 species
AACUUCAAGGACCAAAACACAACUGGCCAUUAGCAAUCGAACGAUGUCGUUUCAAGAGAACUAUUCGUCUUCUUCCGCUCACCAAACCAGAGAAACGAACGCCCCUGCCAUCACUACUCCUGCAAUAAACGGUCUUGAGUCUUCAUUACCAAGGGAAACGCAUGCCAUUCGCCGACUAUAAAAAACCAGAGAAGGGAUGCGUACAAAAAAAAAAAACAAAAGCUAAAACCCAGACGAAAAAUGAGAAACUGGAGAAAUGAAUAAAGGAAAAACAAAGCAUAAAUCCAGAGAAAGAAAUAAUACAGAGAGAGACGGAGAGAACAAGAGAGCAGCAAUACAUAUAGACGAGUAUUGGCUCUGCCAUUGCCUUCGUCCCUGCAAACAACGAAAACCCAAAAUCAAAACAAAUUCCCAGCAGGCCGGCCUCGUCAUCAUCUUCUCGAUUUCAAAAGCCGCUGAACAAACAAAAGGAACACGCAGACAAGUGAACAUAGAAGGAAGAUAAAGGGGAGCAAUAGGCGAGAAUCCAUCAGCGCUGCAAGCAUCUUCGCCUCCCGAAGCAGGUACGCUCUUUCCUUUCUCC